rnacentral:sRNA from 1 species
AUACAACGGAAAAUCCGUUGCAAAUUAAACUUGCAACGGAAUAUCCGUUGCAA